rnacentral:rRNA from 1 species
CUGCUGCCUCCCGUAGGAGUCUGGUCCGUGUCUCAGUACCAGUGUGGGGGACCUUCCUCUCAGAACCCCUACGCAUCGUCGCCUCGGUGGGCCGUUACCCCGCCGACUAGCUAAUGCGACGCAUGGCCAUCCUAUGCCGGAGUCGCCUCCUUUGACCACCUGGAGAUGUCUCCAAAUGGUGUUAUGCGGUAUUAGACGGAAUUUCUUCCGCUUAUCCCCCUGCAUAGGGCAGGUUCCAUACGUGUUACUCACCCGUGCCG